rnacentral:rRNA from 1 species
GAUGAACGCUGGCGGCGUGCCUAAUACAUGCACGUCGAGCGAACAGACGAGGAGCUUGCUCCUCUGACGUUAGCGGCGGACGGGAGAGUAACACGUGGAUAACCUACCUAUAAGACUGGGAUAACUUCGGGAAACCGGAGCUAAUACCGGAUAAUAUAUUGAACCGCAUGGUUCAAUAGUGAAAGACGGUUUUGCUGUCACUUAUAGAUGGAUCCGCGCCGCAUUAGCUAGUUGGUAAGGUAACGGCUUACCAAGGCGACGAUGCGUAGCCGACCUGAGAGGGUGAUCGGCCACACUGGAACUGAGACACGGUCCAGACUCCUACGGGAGGCAGCAGUAGGGAAUCUUCCGCAAUGGGCGAAAGCCUGACGGAGCAACGCCGCGUGAGUGAUGAAGGUCUUCGGAUCGUAAAACUCUGUUAUUAGGGAAGAACAAAUGUGUAAGUAACUAUGCACGUCUUGACGGUACCUAAUCAGAAAGCCACGGCUAACUACGUG